rnacentral:misc_RNA from 1 species
AAGUCGUAACAAGGUUUCCGUAGGUGAACCUGCGGAAGGAUCAUUAACACGUUUCGUUCCGAACGUUUUUGACCCAUUCUUAUUUUCCGUGCACCUCUCUGCGUCCGGCCUCCCAGCCGCCCCACGGGUUUACUCGUGGAUGGCCUGUUGGGCGUCAUUUGGGUUCAUAAGAUUUGUUUUGAAGAUGGAAACGUCGUCUUUACAGUUCUUCCAUUUGGCGUUGCCACCUCACCCAAACCCUUUAAUCUAAUUGAUCUGAACUUUUAGUUGAGCUGCAAAGCCCAACGAUUUACAACAAAUAACAACUCUUAACAACGGAUAUCUUGGUUCUC